rnacentral:rRNA from 1 species
CAUUCACGGAGAGUUUGAUCCUGGCUCAGGACGAACGCUGGCGGCGUGCUUAACACAUGCAAGUCGAACGAUGAAGCCUUUCGGGGUGGAUUAGUGGCGAACGGGUGAGUAACACGUGGGCAAUCUGCCCUUCACUCUGGGACAAGCCCUGGAACGGGGUCUAAUACCGGAUAACACUCUGUCCCGCAUGGGACGGGUUG